UGUGGAGUGGAGCAGCCCGGUAGCUCGUUAGGUUCAUAACCUAAAGGUCGGAGGUUCAAAUCCUCCCUCCGCAA
rnacentral:tRNA from 1 species